rnacentral:misc_RNA from 1 species
UAAACAUCACAUCUACAAACAUACACAUAUAAUUUAGUAAGAUAGUAAAUUACCCGUACAUCAACCACAAAAGAAAGGAAUGGAAUGCAAAAGGCUUGAUUUUUGGAAUGAAUGCAAAAUGUUCAAGCAUUUAUAUUAGGCCAACACAUGCAAGUGAAAAAUUAGCACUUUUGGGAUGGUAUUAGUGGCUAAAAUAGAGCGAAGGGAGAAGUUGCAAUGGUGUUGUAAUCUAUAUGAGAUUGGCAAAGUGCUACGGAUAACAAAUAGAGACAAUCGUGAUGGAAAUUGAAGUUCACAUAUUUUGGUAGUGUGCAACAAAAGCAAAGCAGAGACAAUGAUUUUACUAGUGUUAAUAACCACAUAUUUUGGUAGUGACAGGUUAAUAAUCAUUGAAGUUCACACUUAAUUUCAUUUUGAAUAUAUACAUUCAAUUUGUAGAAAUUAUGUCAAGUAAUUUUAACUUGGAUAAAAGAUCAAUUUACCACCUCAUCUUGGCAGAAAGGCUCAAAAGUUGGGCCAAUUAGACCAUCCAGGUUGGUAAAAUUGUCAAUAAAGCCCCCAAAUUCUAGCUAUGUAGAACAUGCAAUGUAUAAGGACUAAAAACAAUAUUUUGACAUUUUACAAUUUGCUCCUCAAAGUUUGUAAAAAAGCUAUAAAUUGAUCCCUCUCUUUAUCUCUUAUUUCCAUCUCUCUACUUAUUUUCUCUUACCCCAUGUAUCUCUUUGUUUUCCCUCCAGAAAAAAACCACAAGAAUGGCAAAAAAUAAUAAUAAAAUGAAAAUUAAAAUAAAAAAAUAUCAUCAAUUCAUUUUUCUCUCCCUCAAUCUCACCUGAAAAUUGAAAACCAACAAAUCCAAAAAUAUUUUCAACAAUUCAACAACAAAAACAUUUUUUCUGAAAAUAUUUUCUUUGGAAAAUUCUUUUCUCUUAAAAAAAUCUUGAAAAAAAAUAAGGACUUAUUACUUUUAUAAAAUUUCAAGAACUAAGUAGUAUCUAAGAGUAACAAUGUGAAGCACCAUCCAAAAUUUCGGCUACUUACGCACCUCUAGUGCAUGUUGUGCAAAUUGGGGCAAAUUGACCACUUUGCCAACUUAGAUGGUCUAAUUGGUUCAGUGUUUGCAUUUUGGGUUUAAUUGAACAAUGCUGCCAAAAUGAGGGAACAAAUUGACCUUUUGUCCUUCUAACUUUGUCUCAGUUUUGAUACUCUCAUUUAAUUCCUUACAAAAUUCACCAAAAUGUUGAUCCACGCCACCAUCUUUUAAAUAACCAAAAUUACUUAUUUAUCUCCACUAAUAUCCAAGUUAGAAAAAAUGUCAUAUAUAUGUAUACAACCCAUAGAACCUGAAAAUGCAAAUGGAUGUUGCUACAAAAGUAGGUUGAAAAAGAUAUGAAAUGAUUAAGACAAUUUAACAAGUAGAAAUCAAAGAAGUAAUGCUAAAGCUUCUCCAACGAGACAAAGGAAUAAAACAUUUGUCCCAAAAAAAUGUUAUCCCUUCAAAAUUAAAAGUUCAAAACUCAUAAAACACUCUUUCAUAAUACAUUAAAUUAUAAAUUCCUUUCUGAAGCAGAAUUUAUUCUUGCAUUCCAAACAUAAGUAUGUUCCGGAAGUUUUUAAACCAUACAACAGUAAGAAAACUAUAGAAGAAGAUUAAUCACAAAAUGCAUGGAUAAGAAUUUGAAUUAUAUAGUAUAUCAUUACAAAUUCCACAUGAACAAGCAUACAAAGAGAAUCAUAAAAAACCAAAUUCCAGGUAAGAGUCAAUCACCUGCUUGUCCCCCUGCCAAUGAACAUGGAGAAAGUGAAAGAAACCUACUUUGAGCACAUUUUAUGACAACGUUAGAGAGCACGCAUGUAAACAGUCAUGUCACUAGCAUGAAAUGUUGACAAACGUGCUCUCUCUCGUUGUCAACCAAUGAUGUCAAAGCUUGGAAAUUAUCUGCUAAAAUAGGAGCAUAUACACAUUGUAAAAACAUAUAGUAAAACAAUCAUGGCGGAAGGGAAAUUAUUAUAGAUGUCUUGCAUUCCUUACCAAGAGAGAAUAUGAGUUGCCAAAACUUUCUUCAAAGCAUAAGAUCUUGCAAGCCAACGUAAAACAGUAUCAGUGAGAUUGUUAUGAUUGUCAUUAACCAACAGUGUCCAACUAUAGACACCAUGAAUAAAUUCAAACUUAUAAAACCACAUCAUAUCAUGCUGAAGGAAAAAUCAAAAUUUCUCUAAAAAUUGGGAUACUAAGUUUUAUAAGCAGAAUAAAUGAAAUCUCUUCUACACGUAAAAUUAACAAUGGCAGUUAUCAAGUACUGCAGCAAAUUAUAGAAUUAGCAAAGGCAAAUAUAAAUAAUAUAAUUAAGAAAAUUAAGCAAAUAUGCAUAAAGAAAUGAUUUUAAUCAGAAAAAUAGAAGUUGGCUUACCCCAUCAUCUGGAAAAACAAAAAGAGGACACUGAUCCACACCUUAAUUUUUUAAACAACUAUGAUACCAGUAUUUGUUAUUCUAGAUUUCAUAAAUAGAACAGCAACCUCUUACAAGCUAGAAAGUCCAGAAAAUAAUAAUUCAUUUUGAACUAUGAAUGCAAGCUAUGAAAUUAGACAUGCUGGGACAG